GAACUGCGGCGGGGGUGGCUGGGCCACCGGAGGGAAGCGGGUGUGGCCCAGGCAGCGGGGGCUGGGACAGACCUGGAAAGGAGGAAGCGGGGAAGGAAGGUUGUCCUGCCGGGCUGGGGGCUCCCGGUAAUCCGGAGGCCAGCAGUGGAACUGCAAGGGUCUACAGGGCAGAUCUGCCUCCCGGCCUGUUUCAGCUACGCCGAGUCGUUGGCUCAAGGCGGAGGAUUUUCCUAUUGGCUGCGUUAUUUGAAUGGAAUGGAGGAUAGGUCGUGAAGUAGGUGCUGGUGGUUGCUCUAAGGAACUCAGAUGAACUUGGGCAUGUCAGAAUUAAUAACCUUUUAAAAGUGAGGUCUGUGUAGCCGAGGGUUUUAAUGUCCUACACAGGGAGUUGACCAGAACCAACACGGAACCACCCUAACUUGCUUCAGACUCCAUUGCUAGAUCAAUCCUGAUUUCUAGAUCAUAGCAUCUAAUCCUUUGCCUUGCCUCUGGAUUACAAGGGUGGAACCAAGCAGAGGGGUUCACCCAAGCCAUCCUUGGGUGUUUCCAUGGGAAAGAAGGAUUUCACUGAGAAUAAUAAGUGACACCAAGGCUCAAAAGAAUGAGAGAGAAGUCUGUGGUCUCUUGAACAGUAAGGAUUUGCUCACAGAUCUCUGGAAGUAGCCAGAAUGUGACAGGAUCUCAAAAUGAAUGGCUGCUUCAUGGAGGCUGGGAAAAUGUAUCCCAGAGAUAGCAGAAGAGAAUCUUCCUGACCAGUUGACGAUCACUGCUUCACAUGUCCUGCUUCACGUUUUGCAUCCACUUCUGUGGUUUUUGCUACCACCUACAGAAGAUUGACUUCCAAAUGAUGCCUACCAGAAAUGUGAACCUGGAUGUUCCACAGUGUCUGAAAUGCAAUUUCUAAAUCUCAGUUCUCUCACCCUCCCUCCCUUUCUUCCUAAAUUGUAUUCUUAGUAAAUGACACCUAUUUCUCUGGUUUUAAUUUCCUUACCUCUCUUUUCCCCUCCACUGCAAUAAGCUCUCUGGCACUGAAACUUGAACUGAUGUGAUCACCAAUGAGCUCCCUAUUGACAAGUCAAUCGUAUCUUACUAAACCUCUCUGGGUAUUGACGAUUCUAUGCUUCUUGAAGCUGUUUCCUUCCUGGUCUUUCUUGUUAUGAUCCACUUUUGGUUUUCUUGCUCUGUUUCUGACAUGACCUUUUCAUUUUCCUUUGUUUAUUUUUCUUAUAUGGCCUGCCCCUUCACAUUGCUUUGCCUAGAACUGUGAUCUCAGCUCUUUCUUAUUCUACAGUCUCUGGGCAAUUUCGUCUAAUCUGUGGUUUUUAUAACAUAUUUAGCAAAUGUUUCUUGAGCAUCUACCAAAUAUCAGUGCCUAGAACUAAACCUGAGAUAUACUGGUGGUGUCUUUUUGAAUAAAUGCAUGCAUGAAUGAAUAUUCCAGGCGUUAUUUGUGGUAGAUGCUGGAGAUACAUAUGUCAAUAAGAUUGGGUUUCUUCCUACCCUCGAGCCAGCCACAGUGGCUUCACAUCUGUUACUCCGAAUUAUGUGGAGUCACAUCUGUUACUACAAAUUAUGGCUUACUCCUGAGCUCCAGACCCACAUAUUCAAAUACUUUUUUGUAUUCUCGUCAUCUUGUCCUCCAUGUACCUCAAGUGUAACAUGUUCAAUGUUGUACUUCCUUACCUUAUAUUUGUUCAUGUUAUUUUACCUGACUCGGUGAAUAACAGCAUCAUCUGUCUGAUGGCCCAAGCCAGAAAUCUGAGGUUCUAACUAAUCACCAGCAGCUAUCUGUACAAUCCUCUUAAUGUCUGUCAUUCUUUUUUCUCCACCCUCUUUGCUAUUGUUUUAGGACCUUUAUGCAUUAUCUCUUGCUUGAAUUAUUACAAUUGCCAGCCUGGAAGUAACUACUUUAAAUUCUUUCAGCUAAUUCUUUGGGUAUCAAGAUUUAUAUCUUAAUAACACAUUUAUUUGCUACUUCCUGAUUUUUUUCUGACUUAAGCUUUAUUUAUUGAUUUGCCACUUUUAAAGAUAAAAAUUCAGCCCUGUUUUUAUCUUCCCCAUAUUUACUAUACACAAAUUCCUUCUGAGCACUCAGUCUAGCAAUAUGCUUUUAUUUUUAUUAGAUCAAUGGUCAGUGUCUAUACUAUUAUGACAAUGAAAAUGCUAAUAACCAACUGAGCUGUACUUAGUACCUAACAUUGUAUUUCCUUUUCUACACAUUUUUUCCCUGAAGAUAAUUUUUAUGGUUGUUUUGAUUCCUUAACUGUCUACUAAAUUGGACAGUAUGAAAUUAAUAGUUUUAUAGGACAAAAUUAUUGAAUAUUGGCAUUAUGUGGUUCAAACUGGCAUAUUCUUUUUAUUAACGCCUAAUUCUCUCCUAGUUACCCACAUAUCUCAAUACUUUUAGAUGAAAUGUUCUAUCACUUUCAAUUUAUUGAUACCUUCUGAUGAAUCAAGUGUUUUUUUCAUUUUCAUCUUCCUGGAGCCUUCUGACUUGCUCGAAUCUGAACUGGUUGCCAGCAGGGACACAGCUGUCAUCCUAGGGUUCUUUCUUGUGUGUUAGCAUCCUAGAGAUCUGUUCCUUAUAUCCUAUGGCUUUUUAUUUUUCAGUUUAUUCCCUCAUUUUGAAGGAUCAAAUUUUCUCAUAGCUUCCUGAGAAAGAGUGAACUAAAGGUAAAGUUUUGAGACCUUGCCUAUUUAAAACAUCUUUAUUCAUCCGUCACAAUUUGUGGCAUGGUGUAUCAUUCUAUGUUAAAAGUAAUUUUCUUUAGAAUUUUGAAGGCACUGCCACAAUGUCUUUUAGCUUUCAGUUUGCUAAGAGGUCCAAAGCCAUUCUGUUUCUUGAUUCUUUGUUUCUGAUCAGAUAUUUUCCUCCGGAAUCUUUUCUUUUUCUUAGUAUUCUAAAAUGUGAUGAUGUUAUGUCAUGGUGGAUGUCCAAUAAGUGUCCUGUUGGACUGGGUACUCCGUGAAUACUUUCAAUCUCACUGGCCUGGCUUGGGUCACAUGCCUACUCCCAAACAGAUUGUGGUAAACAGGAGAAUGCUGUACUCUGGCCAGUUCUAGGUAAUUUGUCCAUCCCUGGAACUGAUAAUUGGGUGGAGGUACAUGGACUGACAAUAUAAGAAGGGAAAUUCAGGGUGCUGUUAUGAAAAGAAACACAAAAGAUUGAGGAGACAAACCUAGAGGCAUCCACUGUAUAAUGUAAACAAACUCUCUGUGUAUGUGUAGCUUGAUGGAAACCUGAUUUAUAAUCAGGAUGCUGAGUUUUGAAUGACUGAAUUUGCUAUUGUCCAAAUGAUCUAAAUGACAUUCAGUGAUUCACAGUCACCAUUCCAAGCAUGCAAUUUAUAAUAAAGAGAGAAGUAGUAUCUUAUAUUUUAUGGAAA